rnacentral:lncRNA from 1 species
GAAAUGGAUGAAAUGAAAGAGCUACUACCAUUUAUUGAAUGUUGAAUAUGUGCUAAUCACUGGACAAGGAGGCUUGUGCCUUUGUGAUUAGCACAUACAAGGAUCAUAUAAAUGUAAUCAUCUCAAUUCCUCUGUGAAGUACGUCUUUUUACCUCCAGAAGGACUUAAGAUUCAGAGAGGGUAAGAGGCUUGCCCAAAGACCGCAGCUACCAGGUGACAGAUCAGAAUUCAAAUGCAGGACGACGGCAAGAUGCUUACUAGCAGAUCAUUUUAAACGAGCAUGCCUGGCACGCAGUAAGCACUCCGUAAGUAGUGUCGUCUGCUACCACUGGUGUUCUUAGAAAGGCUCUGGCCCAACCCUAUCCUAGAAUCAUCACUCCAUUGCAGGCUUGACACUGGAACCAACUCUUUGCUCUGGAAUUAGGUCAAAUCAUUGCUGGCUUCAGGCCCUUCUCCAUUAAAAAACGUACCCAUGGAGAUAAUGAAUGCACUGAAUUUCUACCAGUCAUUACGCCUUGGUGUCAAUCAGAAGGAAUGUCCCAUAGGAAGGCUAGGACUGGGCAUUCCUCUCUACCUAUCACAUGAUUCGAUGAGCACAGGGUGCUGUGGUUUGAUGUAUAGAGUCUGCCUUUCUUAAAGGAGCCCUGAUUGUGGCCUGGAGGGGCCUAUGUGACAUGAUUCCCGUGAGGCCAGCCUAGCAGAGGGCAGGAUGGCUAUCUCUCUACUGUGGCUACAGCUGCCUUUGGAGCUUUCUCAGGAAUCCCGGGUGUCCACUGAUUGAACAAAUGUACACAAACACAGCAGAGCCUGCUCCUGCCAGAAACAGACUCAAAGCUACAGCGACCAGUCCCAGAAAAGUUCCCCCAGGCCAGCUCAACUCCCACCAGCAGGGGUCACACCUGAGCAGCCAGAAGGGUGAGGGGCCCUGAUAGUCUGGCCUACCAACCAGCAAACCUUUGUAUGCUGCGGGUGAGGUCCAUACUCAGUCAGCACAUGGAAGGGGAACUGGAGGAGAACAUUAAGCUGAGAGGAGGUCCUGGUGGGCUGGGGCCAACUCCCCAGGAGCAGAGGAAGCAGCCAGCAGCCUGGAUGGGCAGAGGCUCCGACUCCCUCUCUCCCAGAAGCUGCCCGCCCCCUCUUCCCCCCUGCUUUUGCAAAGUUUUCUGAGUUCCAUCUGCAGUACUCUGACCUGAGGGCACCUCUACAGCUGGGCCCAGAGGGACUGAAGCUGCUACUAGCAUGGCACGGUCCUGGGAGCUUUGAGGACACCCACAGAGACAGACGGUGCACACCGAGGGUUCCGCUGCUCAGGAACAGGCAUGGAGAAGAAAGUUGCACUUAGAAGCCCAACAGGAGUUUUGCAAGACAAAAGUUUAAUGAAAGGAGAGAAGAGCACAGAAACUGAAGGUAGGCCCCUUCCUUACAUUUGCUUAUCAGCUCAGAAGCAGAGCUCAGAGACAGCAGCCGCCAGAGGAUCUGGGAGCUGACUUUACUCUUACUGUAAAUCUACCUUCCCACAUUUUCCUGCCUUUUGGAAGCCUGAAGAUACUCUCCUCUUUGUCUUGUCAUUGAAUAGAAUUUAUGGCUCUUUGUUAAAAUACUAUUUAAGCAAGGCCUCUAAAGCCGCUGCCUUGAGAGAGAAAAAGAGUUUUGAACUGAGGCCUCUUCUGUGUGAUGGGUACAGCACAUGUUAAUAAACUUCUGCUUGUUUUUCUUUUGUUAGUCUGACUUUUGUUUUCAGGAGUGUAUCUCAACUUAGAACCAAAAAAGAUAAAGAAAAGAAAUGUUUUCUCC